rnacentral:rRNA from 1 species
GAUGAACGCUGGCGGCGUGCCUAAUACAUGCAAGUCGAGCGAACAGACGAGGAGCUUGCUCCUCUGACGUUAGCGGCGGACGGGUGAGUAACACGUGGAUAACCUACCUAUAAGACUGGGAUAACUUCGGGAAACCGGAGCUAAUACCGGAUAAUAUAUUGAACCGCAUGGUUCAAUAGUGAAAGACGGUUUUGCUGUCACUUAUAGAUGGAUCCGCGCCGCAUUAGCUAGUUGGUAAGGUAACGGAUUACCAAGGCGACGAGGCGUAGCCGACCUGAGAGGGGGGGGGGCCCGGCCGGACUGGGACAGCGGUCCGGCCCCCAAUGGGAGGGGAGGGUGGGGAAGGUUCCAUAAGGGGAUAAGCCGAAGCGUGAUGAAGCGGCGUGGGGUAGGAGGUGUCGGGGUUCGUAAAGUUCUGUUAUUGGGAAAGCAAAAAAGUCAAAUGAAUUGAGGGGUGCUGAAGGUAACCUAAUAAGAAGCCCCGGCUAAAUACGUG